UACGUAGGCAGCGAGCGUUGUUCGGAAUUACUGGGCGUAAAGAGUGCGUAGGCGGUGCUCUAAGUCUGUCGUGAAAUCUCCCGGCUCAACUGGGAGGGUGCGGCGGAAACUGGAGUGCUAGAGUGUGGGAGAGGUAAGCGGAAUUCCUGGUGUAGCGGUGAAAUGCGUAGAUAUCAGGAGGAACACCUGCGGUGUAGACAGCUUACUGGACCACGACUGACGCUGAGGCACGAAAGCUAGGGGAGCAAACAGG
rnacentral:rRNA from 1 species